rnacentral:rRNA from 1 species
ACUAAAUAGAUACCCCGGUAGUCCACGCCCUAAACGAUGUCUACUAGUUGUUGGUGGAGUAAAAUCCAUGAGUAAACGCAGCUAAACGCGUGAAGUAGACCGCCUGGGGAGUACGGUCGCAAGAUUAAAACUCAAAGGAAUUGACGGGGGCCCGCACAAGCGGUGGAUUAUGUGGAUUAAUUCGAUGCAACGCGAAAAACCUUACCUGGCCUUGACAUGCCACUAACGAAGCAGAGAUGCAUUAGGUGCCCGUAAAGGAAAGUGGACACAGGUGCUGCAUGGCUGUCGUCAGCUCGUGUCGUGAGAUGCUGGGUUAAGUCCCGCAACGAGCGCAACCCUUGCCAUUAAUUGCCAUCAUUUAGUUGGGCACUUUAAUGGGACUGCCGGUGACAAACCGGAGGAAGGUGGGGAUGACGUCAAGUCCUCAUGGCCCUUAUGGCCAGGGCUUCACACGUAAUACAAUGGUCGGUACAGAGAGUUGCCAACCCGCGAGGGGAGCUAAUCUCAGAAAGCCGAUCGUAGUCCGGAUUG